rnacentral:lncRNA from 1 species
AUCAAGCUCUCCCAAUAAACGUGUGCAGAAGGAUCCUGUUGCAACGUCGUUCUUCCUGGCCAUUCGAGCACGCUCAAGAUUCCCUCUCCCAGCAGGAAGCUUUCAAGUGACCAGAACCCCAGUUGCUUUCCAGGCAGCAUGGAACCUAAGUACCUUCCUGGGAGCACUUCUCAGCAUUGAGGCAUCGAUGACCCUCCUCUACAGCAGGUUUAAGACAGAGGGAACAUACCAGCUUCCCAAAACUGUUCCCAGUGAGCACAGAUGCUGCCAAUGAUGGGAAGUGUUCCAGGGUUGGCACAUUGACAGCACCCGGAGUGAUGGAUGGAAAGAGAUGAGUGCUCAGAGGAGGGACUCAUGAUGUCAGCCUUGUUAGUCUGCAGUCCGCAUCUGCAGAAAUACUCCACCUUCUAGAAAGAGAAGAGGAACAAUUAAAACAGCAGAGAG